rnacentral:misc_RNA from 1 species
UUAAAAUGAUUUGAUAUUUGGACUCAGACAACAAGGUUAUAAAAAAGAAUUUAAGAAGGCUACUGGCGGGCACAGGCCAGGAGCAGUAAAGCCCCCGGCGGCCCCAAAGGGCGGACCCGCCAAAGCAACACGGUAUAAUAGACAUAGGGUUGGAGGUCAGGCCAUGAAGACCCUAACUCGGUAAUGAUCCUUCCGCAGGUUCACCUACGGAAA